rnacentral:lncRNA from 1 species
AAACAUUAAAAAAAAUGCACUUUUUAAAAAAAGAAAAACACAAAUGGGGGAGAUGGGAUUCGAACCCCUCCCCUUGGCAAUUCAACUCAGCGCGCCCACCACUGGGCUGUGAGUCACUUGGUGAUUCAUUGUUGCUUCCAAUCAAAAUAAAACAUGCAACACUUUUAAACCUAAAAUGCGCGCGCCCUGGCACCAAUCCUCCCCAAAAUCAAACAUAUUUUCA